AAAACGACUCUCGGCAACGGAUAUCUCGGCUCUCGCAUCGAUGAAGAACGUAGCGAAAUGCGAUACUUGGUGUGAAUUGCAGAAUCCCGUGAACCAUCGAGUCUUUGAACGCAAGUUGCGCCCGAAGCCACCAGGCCGAGGGCACGUCUGCCUGGGCGUCACAC
rnacentral:rRNA from 2 species